AAUAAUCGUAUGCAACCACUUUUAAACUCAUGAGUAGACAACUUACAAUACAUAACGACAAGUUGUCUAACUUUCAAGUGACAUAAUUCUCAAAGCUAUUGAUUUAAAAUCUGUGCAACACAUCAAUAAAGUAGAAUAUACUAAGUGUUGCAGCGGAAUAACUCAUGUGGAUUACAUGUAUGAAGACAUGAAAUCCUGAGCCUGUUUUAUACAUAUACAUCAAAGAAUUUGCUCUACUCGCUUCCAUCUGCAUCACAGCUUAACCUGCAUAUUUAGAAAACAUAUGCAGGGCUGAGUACUAAAAAGCAUUCAAUGGUCACAUGUCGAAAUAACUUUAAACUUGCUCUUAGAGCUAUAUAUUGAACUUGUCAUCUCAAGCAUCACACAGGAGUUUUAUUUAAAUAACCCGUGCAUGCAAAACUGUAAAACUUCUCUAUAAUCAUCAUAACAUCAUAUACGCCUGCAGACAAUUAACAUGUAUGUACCCUCGUGAGUUAGUAAGCCCACCAGAUACUCUUAAUGAAAUAGAAGUCCUUGCCUGUUCACUCUAUGUUGACACUCGAACCUUCAUUAUAAUGAGGUUCCCAAGGUAAGAUUGGAUAGAUAGACAAGAAAUAAAUAAAGAAGAACUUAUAAUUAAAACUUCUAUCUCUUGAAGCUUUAGGGUUGCAUCCACUAGUCUAAAUAAUCUGCUUUUGUGAAUUUAAUUAAACUAAAAGCAUAUACUAACAUUCCAUCUCUUAGGAUAUCUCAAUUGAGAAAGCUUAAGAGUAAAUUAAUUCAUUCUAUAUAGAUUAGCUUACAAUUAAUAACUAAAAUACCAAUCACUUAGCAUAGUUCUAGUCAUAACUAUCCUAAGUAAGAAAUCUCAAACACGUAUUCAUAUAUGAAUCUCAACUUUGAAAAAUUAUAUAAAAUCAACCACUUCAAAGAAAAAUAUAAACUUCACCUUUUUAGAAAGCUAUUAAGGUCUAUAUUUCUCAUAAAUUUACAAAAGCUAUUAUAGUAAAAAUUUCAAGUUAUUUGGACUAUGGAAACAUCAUCAAAAUCAUCCCGCAAGACACUGUUUUGUCAAGCUAAAAAUUGACAGCAAUGCAUCCUUUGUUUCAAUUUAACAUAUAGCUCAUACUUUGGCCAAAUAAAAAGUGUAGAGACUCAAAUACAUGAUCAUAAUACAUAACUGAACUCAUUUUUAACACUUCAACAUAGGCAACAAGUUAUAACAUAACGAUUCUCCAUGCAUUCAUCUAAGCCCAAUUAUAAUCUUAUUAAAUAAACUAACAUUAAAAUGAAAUAAUAAUCUGGAAUAUUCUUUUCUCUCCUCACCUGCGUCUCUCUCUCUCUCUCUUGUCUGGUGAGCGUUGCCGGUCCUCGUCGCCUCCGGUGUGGCGAGGUCUGCGCCUCUCCUUCCUCCUCCUUUCUUCCCUACUUCCUCCCAAAUUCUAGGGUAUUCUGCCUCCAUUUUCCCCUCUGAAAUCCGCCCAUACGGCAAGGCCCGCCGUCACUGCUGCUGUCUCCGUCGCACCGCCACCCCUGCCUCAGGUAUGCUCCCUCUCGAUCUUCCUCUCUCAACCUCUCUAUCUCUCACUCUCUGUCUCUUUCUCUGUUGUUGGCGGCCACCGCGGACCGCCGUGGCGUUGGGCAGCGCCGGCGGUCGCGGCUGCCAGUCCCACCUUUACCGCGGUGGCUCGCGUCUACUGCUGCCACCGUCCUCUUCUUCUUCUCUAUCUAUUUUAUUUGUUUUUCUGAUUUAAAUCUCUUGAUUUCAGAAAUAGGUGCUCUUCAAUGAACAUUGCCGGCUGAAGGCGUUACCGGUCCGAUGAAGCUGCCUUAGUUCUCACUGUUGCUAGUGUUUUUAAGUUUGCAGAUUGAGGAUGAAGGUGGAGUCGAUUCUUGAAGUAGUUGAGUCAAGUUUCAAGCCACGUGUUCUUCCAAUAGCUAAUCUGAGUGCUACGUGUUCUUCAAAUAGUUAAUCUGGUUUAAUAAAUCUAACUAUCUAAUUUGCCUAAUAAAAUCUGCUAAUUA
rnacentral:lncRNA from 1 species